GGUUUUUAUAGUUGAAUUACAACGACAGUUUUUCGUAUUGUUAGUCUUGGGUUUAGGCCAAGUAAAAACG
rnacentral:tRNA from 2 species